AUGAUAUCAGUAUCUGAUGUUGACUCGUUUCACCAGGCCAAGGCUUUUGGUGAGAAGAACUUUAUUUCCUGGGAAAGAAAGGAAAGUCUCAGUCCUCAAGGAGAAUGUAUAUAUUGGACCCCAGGAGAGACACACAGAGAAGGAAUAAAGAGAGAGUCUGGGACUUCACCGACCUCCCAGAUGAGGAAAACCUGUCUACCAUGCAGGGAUGAUAAAAAGGGUCUUUCCUGGGAAACUGACUUUGGGAGUCUCCCUCGGAGAGGACGCUCUGCCAUAGGGACUUUCCCAAGCGAGACCCUGACGGCUGUGAUACAGGACGCCCCCAGCCAGACGUUCAGGACUUGGUGCUUCCUCGGACUGGUGAUGUAUUUCUUCUUCUUUAUCUUUCUAUCUUUCUGUUGAUAGCCUUUGCUUUUCAGAUUGUAUAAUCAUAUGUAAUCACAUUUAUGUGCAUGUGUUUAUGAUUAUUAUCAUUAUUGAAUCAUUUAUAAGCUAGGAAAAGCGUGAAUGUGUCUUUGUGGGUACAGAUCCAAGCCUGUGAGACAAAUUAUAAGUGCUGCAGCCCAUAACACCUUACUGUUAUGUGGAUAUCUGUAAAUGGGGUAAUAAUAGAGGGGGAGUGGGGGGGGAGUGACUAAGAAGCUAGCCUCGGGGUCAAGUGGCCCUGGGCCAGUCACUCACCAUUUCAAUGCUCCAAACAACUAAGAUUUUAAUAGAUAAGCAAGUUGUUUAUCCCCUUUGAUAGAGGGAUUUUCCUCCCCUGGGAUUCCCAAAGAAAUCGUGGCUAGGAAUAAGGAAAAGCCUGUAGUACCCACCUGACGUGCUUGUUCUGAGUCUUACGUGAGAUAAGUUAUGCCAAGCACCCUGAGAAGGUGAAAUCACUAUGUAAAUGUCAGUUCCUAAUCUGUCCUCUGAAACUGGGUCAGGAAACAAAGGGUGCUGUGAGUCUCUGGGCAGAGGAAGGUUCACCUGAGUCACGAAGCCAAGGUCACCAGAGCAGACUACCUGUCUAGGUGUCACAGGAAGGCUUUGCCACCCAUCAAAAGUCUCCCAUGCUUCUUUUCCUGAUUCCCAAAAUUCCAAUAAGGGUCAAGGCAAAUGAUUUGGCCAAGGUGGUCCAGUCUGUAUGUAGCAGAGAAGCCAGGUUAUCUCAUUCCAGUGCCGCUCUCUGCAUUCCCAACACAACAAUCUUUCCCCUCCACCGCUUGCCUCAGAAGCAAUGCUCAUGAUUCAUCAGUCCGUUACAUCAGGCGCUACAAAACACAUGCCUCCCUCACAAUUUUUCCGAGGCUGGAUUUUUCCCUGGUUGUGCAGAAGGAGUAUUGUUGGCGGCUGAGUACAGCUGCUUCUUUUUCCUCUUCACACUGAAAAUCCUAUUCCAAAGCCCAGCACUCUUAAAAGU
rnacentral:lncRNA from 1 species